AAGGAGAAGGUAAUGAAGGAAAAACAUGGUUUUGGCCACUAGUGAAGUGUGUGACUGUCAGGGUGCCAAACAAUCCUCUUCUCCAGCAUGUCACACUUGUGGACCUUCCUGGAAAUGGUGACUGUAACAAGAGCAGAGAUCAGAUGUGGAAAGGGAUAGUUGGAGAUUGUUCUACUGUAUGGAUUGUGACUGAAAUUAAUCGAGCAGCAUCAGAGAAAGAGGCCUGGGAGAUCCU